rnacentral:rRNA from 1 species
GACGGGCCGCACAAGCGGUGGAGUAUGUGGUUAAUCGACGCAACGCGCAGAACCUUACCUGGUCUUGACAUCCCGAGAAUUUUCUGGAAACAGAGAAGUGCCUCGCAAGAGGAAUUCGGAGACAGGUGCUGCAUGGCUGUCGUCAGCUCGUGUCGUGAGAUGUUGGGUUAAGUCCCGCAACGAGCGCAACCCUUGUCUUUAGUUGCCAUCAUUAAGUUGGGCACUCUAAAGAGACUGCCGGUGUCAAACCGGAGGAAGUGGGGAUGACGUCAAGUCCUCAUGGCCUUUAUGACCAGGGCUACACACGUACUACAAUGGCAGGUACAAAGGGCAGCCACUUAGCGAUAAGGCGCGAAUCCCGUAAAACCUGUCUCAGUCCGGAUUGGAGUCUGCAACUCGACUCCAUGAAGUUGGAAUCGCUAGUAAUCGCAGAUCAGCACGCUGCGGUCGAAUACGUUCCCGGGCCUU